UCUCUCUCUCUCUCUCUCUCUCUGUCGUCUUAGUCUAUUGGAAUAAUCAACACGUUCUCUCUCUCUCUCUAAAAAUUGACACGAGAGAGGGGCUCUGCGUUGUUCAUAUGAAGCGUUAAAAAAGAGAGGUUAUGGCAUACAACAGGCUGCCGAGCAGCGGCCACAACAGCCCGUCGUCGCCGCCGUCGUCGCCGCUGCGGUCGCCGAGGCUCCGGCACAGCCGGUCGAAGGGAGGGCGGUUCUCUCCGGCGCAACCCCCCAGAACCGUCGCCCAGCGUCUCGCCGGCCUACUCCUCUCCGUCCUCCUCCGCAGACAAGGCAUCUUCCUCUUCGCUCCGCUUCUUUACAUCUCCGGCAUGCUCUUCUACAUGGGAACUGUCUCCUUCGACGUUGUUCCGAUCAUCAAUCACCGUCCUGCUCCGGGCUCCGUCUACCGGAGUCCCCAGCUCUAUGCGAAGCUCCGUCCCGAAAUGGAUGCGGACAAUUCAACCUCCGAUGCGAUAUCUACUAUAUGGAAACGCCCUAAAGAUUAUGAGUGGAGAGCUUGUAUAAACAAAUCGACAGGAGUUGUUUGUAUUAUUAUAGGCUUACCUGAGUCAAAUGGUUACAUAUAUAUUGAGGCAAAUGGUGGCUUGAAUCAGCAAAGGACAUCGAUAUGCAAUGCUGUUGCUGUGGCUGGCUAUCUUAAUGCAACUCUUUUAAUUCCCAAUUUUCAUUAUCACAGCAUUUGGAAAGAUCCCAGCCCGAAAUGUUUGACUCUGUUGUGCAGCAAAUUCGAAGACAUCUAUGAUGAAGCUUAUUUCAUUAGUACCUUGGAAAACGAUGUACGGAUAGUUGACAAGAUUCCUGAGUAUGUCAUGGAACGAUUUGACCACAAUUUGAGCAAUGUAUACAACUUCAGGAUAAAGGCAUGGUCACCCAUUCAGUACUAUAAGGAUACAGUUCUUCCAAAGCUACUUGAAGAAAAGUUCAUAAGGAUUUCUCCUUUUGCAAAUCGAUUGUCAUUUGAUGCUCCUCCAGAAGUUCAACGGCUUAGAUGCUUGGCAAAUUAUGAAGCUUUAAGGUUUUCAAAUCCUAUAUUAACUAUUGGUGAAGCUCUCGUUGCAAGAAUGAAAGAACGCAGUGCAAAUAAUAGUGGCAAAUAUGUUUCUGUGCAUCUUCGCUUUGAGGAGGAUAUGGUUGCUUUCUCUUGUUGUGUCUUUGAUGGUGGUGCCAAAGAGAAGAAAGACAUGGAUGCUGCAAGGGAGAUAGGUUGGAAGGGGAAGUUCACCAAACCUGGUCGAGUUAUUCGUCCUGGAGCAUUCAGGCUCAAUGGGAAAUGCCCCCUUACUCCUGUGGAGGUCGGCUUAAUCCUUAGGGGAAUGGGGUUUGACAAAAGUACUUCUAUCUAUUUAGCUUCUGGAACAAUAUAUGAUGCCAAUAGAUAUAUGGCUCCACUAUUCGAAAUGUUUCCACUUUUACAAACUAAAGAGAUGUUGGCAUCCCCUGAGGAACUUGCUCCAUUUAAGAGUUGCUUCUUCUAGAACUAUUCUUCCAGGAUGGCUGCCAUAGACUACACUGUUUGUCUUCAUAGUGAAGUUUUUGUGACAACUCAAGGUGGAAACUUUCCUCAUUUUCUGUUGGGCCAUCGGAGAUACUUAUAUGGUGGACACUCCCAGACAAUCAGACCUGACAAGCGGAAGUUAGCAUUAUUAUUUGAUAAUACCAAUGGGUGGAAAAGCUUCAAGCGAAACAUGCUGAAUAUGCGAGCUCAUAGUGAUUCUAAAGGAAUUGAGCUCAAAAGACCAAGUGACUCGAUAUAUUCAUUUCCUUGUCCAGAUUGUAUGUGCCGUAGGAACAAAUCAGAAGAUUCAAGAUCGUUGUCAGCAACGUGAUUAAUGGAGAACUAGAUACUGAUUGGUGUUUUUUGUUGUAAUUCUUUCAUUUUUUUUCCUCUUCUCAUUGGUGAGAGAGGGCACACAUCCAUUUUUGAAGCUCGGAGUAUUUCUUGGAAGACACAAAUGAUCUGAUAUUAUUUCCCGGGAUUGGCUCGAGGAGGAGAAGAAAGAGAUAUGCCCAUUGAUUGCAGGGAGGAUCAACCCGGACCUUAAUUGACAUCAAUUCAUCUUUCUCGCUGCUGCUGUAUCUAACAAGCUGCGAAAUGACACAUUAACUUACCUUUGUGACCUGGCUUUGCCAUGUUUGUAGUUUUUGUGUACAUUAGUUUAAAUUUUGAUCUGUAGUUCUAAUGUAUGACUAUAGAAACAGGGUGUAUUGUAUACGUUUAUGAAAAUCAGGUUAUCAAAUUUUUUUUUUUGUUGGUU